rnacentral:pre_miRNA from 2 species
AGUCAUUCUCCUAAUGGAAGACUAGUGAUUUUGUUGUUUGUAAAAAGAUUGGCCAAACAAGAAAUCGCUAUCUUCCGAAGGUGGAUGAUC